AUCAUUGGCUUAGCUUGCAUCUCUGUUGUCAGAUUUCAUUUUAAUUAUUAUUAAUUAUUUCCCCUUGGGUGUGAAUUACUGGCUUGUGUACUUUCCUUCCUCUUUCUAUUCUGUUAUCUUGCUCCAUAUGUUUCCUGCUUGUAGGACUUAUAGUACUGAAAGGAACAAUAAGGGAACAGAGUCAAGUCAUUGUGAGACAAGUCAAUACAUCAGUCCUCCUGUCGAGGAGGUGUGCCACCUCCCUGGAGCAGCUUUUCACAGGUUCUCAAACUUCAAAUGUCAGAAGAGGAGCUGAGAAAAAUGUUUGUAAAUCAUGGAAAAAGAACAAAAUGGAACUCACUCUGAUACUCAGGGAAAGCUAUCUCUCCUCUUGGCUGAUGGCCAGCAGUCAACUUGGAAGCGCCCUUCAAAGGUUAUAAUCUGCGUAGUCCAUGGAUUCAAUCGCUACUUAAAACAAUGCAUAGACAUUUGAAUUCAUGCUUCUUGGUUUCCUUCCAAUUGCUGGGUGCCAGGCCCCAUGGAGCCCUUGCGACUACACUCUUCAUGGCUUCUUUGAGGUAUCCAGUCCAAGAUCCCUUCCCUGCACUCAGACUGCUGUGUGCCAUGACAGCCACAAAAGGCUUGUGGCUCCUGAUUGCCGCUUAAAAGUUCUCCAGUGACACACUUCUGCGCAUCAAAGGAAUUAAACUACUCUGCAAAGGCUUGGAUUAUUACUUAGAUACAGGACUAGCAGAUACUGUAAGAACGUGAUAUAUAACCUAAGAUGCAGUCUAUAAAGACAGAGCCUAGACUUCGUUUCAGUAUGCACAAACCAAACUCGUUUUCUCAAGUAGAUGUAGAGAAAGUGGCCUGGGAUCAGAAGCAGGGCUUUGAAAACCAAAUUUCUACCAAGGCUACUCAGCACGAACACACAAGUGCUCAUUUCCAUCAUAGCUUUCAUUUUGCACCUUUAAUGCCAAAAUAAAGUGACAAAUUUGGGUUUAUAGCUCACCAUAUGCUUGCAACUUCUUGGCCAUUUGGGAAGCAUAUUGAAGCUAUAGAGUGUAAAAUUAAGCUGUAAGAAUAUUGUAAGCUGAGUUAAA